rnacentral:lncRNA from 1 species
AGACAAUAAACUUGUGGGACCCCGGACCGACUACAAAGAUUGUCGUGGCGGCACAUGUGAACUUGUAAUGGAACUUGCCUAUGUAUAUUUUGUUAUCCCAACAUCGAGCAAUCAGAGAGCAACAAGUGUUGUUGGAAGGGAUCAAAUGCACUUUAUUUCUAUCGGAAUUAGUGUUGCACAAGGGUAGUUCUCGCCUUCUCCAUCAUCAUGUUUUCCUAUUUACAUGGUAGAUGAGAGAGGAUAAAGACAUUACAAUUCUACCCUUGCCUUUUUCGGAUUUACAUGAGGGUAUCCUUGUCUCAGCUGGAGCAUCUAAAUUGAAUAUUUCCUUGGCUCCAUGGAGAAGUUUAUUCCCACUGCCAUCUAGGUAGAGGCCCUUGGCAAUUCACAGCAGCAGAAGUUUCAAAGCGUGUCGUCGAGCAACUCGAAAAUAUAUCGCGAAGAGAUCCCACAAUGCUUUGCCACAGGGGACAUAGAGUGCAUUGUCUUGUGUUCAGAAGUAAAUGUCUUAGAGGAAUCUCACGUUGUUGUGUGAGGAGGCUGCAACUUUACAAAAAAUAUAUAUAUCAUUUUUAAUUACCAAAAUAUAUUUAACCAGUUGGACCGAGUGUGAAUACACAUGACAAUCUUAACCAUGCUUACUGCUUUAGUAUGUAUAACAUUUUCACACAGUUUUAUGAUACUAACGAGAUAUUUAUUGAUUUUUAGGUACCAAGCAACUUCUAAGGUGAUUUGAUAUAAUAGACAUAUGAUUCUUUGAGCGUCAAAAUUGGAGUUGUCCUACAAAAAACAGUUCUUGUAUGCCCGCAAUAGUUUCUCCUAUUUACUGGACUGGAUCUGCGUUAUCCUCGACGACUUGCCCUACCUGGUGCCUAAUAUUCCUGUAAUAUUAUACAUGCAAGAAGUGAACAUUAAACAUUUUGGAUAAAAAUAUUUGUUGCAAUGUGUACUGUGAUAUAAACAUUUUAAAUAUUUGUUUAAUUGUGCUAUGGAACUUAUAUGUCACCAGAAAUAUCUAGCAGUUAUUUUCAUGCCGUUAUAUGUGUAUCUAGCUACUAUAUAUACAUCCCCUAGUUGGCUGAUCAAAUUUAUAAUUACCUUUGGUCUAACGAUCUGCAUAUUACAAGGGGUAUCCAUCUAAAGGCCGUGUUUAGGUCAUAGAUUUUGGAUAUGUCAUCAAUCUGCUCCCUCAUAUGUUACCAGAAAAUAUGUACUCCCUCGAAGAAAUAGAAGAUUGUUUAGAACACUAUAUUUCUUUACAGAUGAAGUAGUACUUGUUUCGGUACCAAGAUAUGUGUAUCUAGCUACUAUAAUAUCUCC